rnacentral:rRNA from 1 species
AUUGAACGCUGGCGGCGUGCCUAAUACAUGCAAGUCGAACGGAGUGGCGCACGGGUGAGUAAUUUAUAGCUAAUCUGCCCUACACUAGAGGACAACAGUUGGAAAAGACUGCUAAUACUCUAUAGUGUAGGAUGAGGCUAUAUUGUAUCAGCUAGUUGGUGAGGUAAUGGCUCACCAAGGCUAUGACGCAUAACUGGUCUGAGAGGAUGAUCCGUCGAACUGGAACUGAGACACGGUCCGGGCUCCUUCGGGAAGCAGCAGUAGGGUAUAUUGCUCAAGUGGGGAAACCCUGAAGCAGCAUCGCGGCGUGGAGGAUGAUACUUUUCGGAGAGUAAACUCCUUUUGUUAGGGAAGCGGUACCUAACGAAUAAGCACCGGCUAACUCCGUGCCAGCAGCCGCGGUAAUAC